AUUGAACGCUGGCGGCAGGCCUAACACAUGCAAGUCGAACGAGCGGCGGAAGGGUGAGUAAUGUCUGGGAAUCUGCCUGAUGGAGGGGGAUAACUACUGGUAACGGUAGCUAAUACCGCAUACCAUCGGAUGUGCCCAGAUGGGAUUAGCUAGUUGGUGGGGUAACGGCUCACCAGGGCGACGAUCUCUAGCUGGUCUGAGAGGAUGACCAGCCACACUGGAACUGAGACACGGUCCAGAAUCCUACGGGAGGCAGCAGUGGGGAAUAUUGCACAAUGGGCGAAAGCCUGAUGCAGCCAUGCCGCGUGUAUGAAGAAGGCCUUAGGGUUGUAAAGUACUUUCAGCGGGGAGGCGUUACCCGCAGAAGAAGCACCGGCUAACUCCGUGCCAGCAGCCGCGGUAAUAC
rnacentral:rRNA from 1 species